rnacentral:tRNA from 1 species
GAGACGCUAGUUAAAAGCGCGAUGACACCGCCUUGUCGAGGCGGAGGUGUGGGUUGAAAUCCCACGUGUCUUA